GUGGGGAAUCUUCCACAAUGGACGAAAGUCUGAUGGAGCAACGCCGCGUGAGUGAAGAAGGGUUUCGGCUCGUAAAGCUCUGUUGUCGGGGACGAAUGUGCAGUAUUUGAAUAAAGUAGUGCAAUGACGGUACCUGACGAGGAAGCCACGGCUAACUACGUGCCAGCAGCCGCGGUAAUACGUAGGUGGCAAGUGUUGUCCGGAAUUAUUGGGCGUAAAGGGAGCGCCGGCGGGAAGGUAAGUCGGUCUUAAAAGUGCGGGGCUCAACCCCGUGAUGGGAUCGAAACUAUCUUUCUUGCGUGCAGGAGAGGAAAGUGGAAUUCCUAGUGUAGCGGUGAAAUGCGUAGAUAUUAGGAGGAACACCAGUUGCGAGGGCGACUUUCUGGACUGUAACUGACGCUGAGGCUCGAAAGCCAGGGGAGCGAACGGGAUUAGAUACCCCAGUAGUCC
rnacentral:rRNA from 1 species